rnacentral:rRNA from 1 species
AUGGAACCCUAUGUUGGCAUGAGGUUUGACAGCCUUCAAAUUGCUAAGGAUCACUACAAUAGCUACGCCCUACGGAUGGGUUUCUCUAUCAAAAUGAACACCUCUAGGCGGACAGAUUAG